rnacentral:rRNA from 1 species
ACUCCUGCGGGAGGCAGCAGUGGGGAAUUUUGGACAAUGGGCGAAAGCCUGAUCCAGCAAUGCCGCGUGUGUGAAGAAGGCCUUCGGGUUGUAAAGCACUUUUGUCCGGAAAGAAAUCCUUGGCUCUAAUACAGUCGGGGGAUGACGGUACCGGAAGAAUAAGCACCGGCUAACUACGUGCCAGCAGCCGCGGUAAUACGUAGGGUGCGAGCGUUAAUCGGAAUUACUGGGCGUAAAGCGUGCGCAGGCGGUUUGCUAAGACCGAUGUGAAAUCCCCGGGCUCAACCUGGGAACUGCAUUGGUGACUGGCAGGCUAGAGUAUGGCAGAGGGGGGUAGAAUUCCACGUGUAGCAGUGAAAUGCGUAGAGAUGUGGAGGAAUACCGAUGGCGAAGGCAGCCCCCUGGGCCAAUACUGACGCUCAUGCACGAAAGCGUGGGGAGCAAACAGGAUUAGAUACCCUUGUAGUCC